rnacentral:rRNA from 1 species
GGCGACCGGCGCAGGGUGCGCACCGCGUAUGGAACCUGCCUUGUACAGGGGAAUAGCCCAGGGAAACUUGGAUUAAUGCCCCGUAGUACCGUAUUUCGGCAUCGGUAUACGGUUAAAGCCUUCGGGCGGUACAAGAUGGCCAUGCGUCCCAUUAGCUWGAUGGUAAGGUAACGGCUUACCAUGGCUACGAUGGGUAGGGGCCCUGAGAGGGGGAUCCCCCACACUGGUACUGAGACACGGACCAGACUCCUACGGGAGGCAGCAGUGAGGAAUAUUGGACAAUGGAGGAGACUCUGAUCCAGCCAUGCCGCGUGCAGGAAGAAUGCCCUAUGGGUAGUAAACUGCUUUUAUACGGGAAGAAAAAGAGCUACGUGUAGCUUACUGACGGUACCGUAAGAAUAAGGACCGGCUAACUCCGUGCCAGCAGCCGCGGUAAUACGGAGGGUCCGAGCGUUAUCCGGAAUUAUUGGGUUUAAAGGGUCCGUAGGCGGGCCGAUAAGUCAGGGGUGAAAGUCUGCCGCUCAACGGUAGAACUGCCUUUGAUACUGUCGGUCUUGAGUUAUAGUGAAGUUGCCGGAAUAUGUAGUGUAGCGGUGAAAUGCAUAGAUAUUACAUAGAACACCGAUUGCGAAGGCAGGUGACUAACUAUAUACUGACGCUGAUGGACGAAAGCGUGGGGAGCGAACAGGAUUAGAUACCCUGGUAGUCCACGCCGUAAACGAUGGAUACUAGCUGUCCGGGGCCUUGAGUUCUGGGCGGCCAAGCGAAAGUGAUAAG